rnacentral:lncRNA from 1 species
UUUUAAGUCACAAAAAUGAUUUCUUCCCUUUCUUCAUUUCACGAAGAGGUUCUGUGGUUCAAUUAUUUCUCAGACUGUGACUUUGAUUAUGUAGGAAAUAGUUCCACUACCUGCUUGAAACAGAAACCUAGUAGAAGAGACUCAAAAGGUCAUCAUCACACUGCAAUGUUUGAGAUCAGCACUAGACUCUUUGGUUAGAAAAGGGAGACCACAGAAUGGGAAACUGAG